UGCAAGUCGNACGCUUCUUUCCUCCCGAGUGCUUGCACUCAAUUGGAAAGAGGAGUGGCGGACGGGUGAGUAACACGUGGGUAACCUACCCAUCAGAGGGGGAUAACACUUGGAAACAGGUGCUAAUACCGCAUAACAGUUUAUGCCGCAUGGCAUAAGAGUGAAAGGCGCUUUCGGGUGUCGCUGAUGGAUGGACCCGCGGUGCAUUAGCUAGUUGGUGAGGUAACGGCUCACCAAGGCCACGAUGCAUAGCCGACCUGAGAGGGUGAUCGGCCACACUGGGACUGAGACACGGCCCAGACUCCUACGGGAGGCAGCAGUAGGGAAUCUUCGGCAAUGGACGAAAGUCUGACCGAGCAACGCCGCGUGAGUGAAGAAGGUUUUCGGAUCGUAAAACUCUGUUGUUAGAGAAGAACAAGGACGUUAGUAACUGAACGUCCCCUGACGGUAUCUAACCAGAAAGCCACGGCUAACUACGUGC
rnacentral:rRNA from 1 species